UCUCCGUAGGUGAACCUGCGGAGGGAUCAUUAACACGUUUUUAACAAAACAAAACUAAUUAUGCCGAUAAUUCAAAUCAAUUUCAAUUUUUUUAUUUUGGUUUGAGUUAUUCGGUCUGUGAAUUUAUCAAUGAAUGGGAUUUAGUUCUUGCAGAAAGGAGUAUUCCUUCUGUUAUAGCUAGAUUUUCAUUCAAUAUCCAAUUAUUUUUUAUUACAAACCCAAAGUAACAAAAAACCAAAUUGAACAGCUCGGGCUAAUAAUAAUAGUAAUAAUAUCUAGUAUUAUGACCUUACAACUGUACUAAUCCUUUUUUUUAAUUUGUUUGUUACUUUCUUUUACCGUUGGACUCUUUUCUGAGUCUUUUGGUAGUUUGAUAUAUCAACAAAUUAAUAAUAAAAACAAAUACUAAGAACAACUCUUAGCAAUGGAUAUCUUGGUUCUC
rnacentral:misc_RNA from 1 species